UCUGAAUCGGCGAACGGCUCCGCAAACCAGUUGUAAACUACCGCAAGCAAAUCCGUCCACGCCUUCACGGGCAAAGAUCGAUUACAUGGAUACCCCUGGUAAUUCUAAGGCUAAUAUAUGUCUAACGCACUCCUGUCAGCCGGGCUUCGGUCUAGCGGGCGGGAAGGAUGUAUUUUUCGGCUUUGGAGGGGGUUGGAACGAGCAUACACUCGAAUCGUCUGCAAUAAUUGGGUGGGUGGCUGACGCUUCUCUUUCGGGAGGGGUUGACGCUGCAAUACGCCCUGGCGAUUCUUGCUACGUGCUUCUGACCUAUCAACUAGACUGCAGCGUAAUGGACAUGCUAUGGU
rnacentral:rRNA from 1 species